CUGCCCUCAAGCCCGGCUUGUGUGUUGGGUCUCGUCCCCCUUCCCGGGGGACGGGCCCGAAAGGCAGCGGCGGCACCGCGUCCGGUCCUCGAGCGUAUGGGGCUUUGUCACCCGCUCUGUAGGCCCGGCCGGCGCUUGCCGAUCAACCAAAACUUUUUUCCA
rnacentral:misc_RNA from 1 species